UAGUCAUAUGCUUGUCUCAAAGAUUAAGCCAUGCAUGUCUAAGCACAAGCCGAUUAAUGGUGAAGCCGCGAAUGGCUCAUUACAACAGCCAUAGUUUCUUAGACCUUACUUUUCUACUUGGAUGACUGUGGUAAUUCUAGAGCUAAUACACGCAAACAAGCUCAGACCUUACGGAAUGAGCGCAUUUAUUAGAACAAAAACCAAUCGGGCUUCGGUCCGUCAUUUGGUGAAUCUGAAUAACUUUGCUGAUCGCACGGUCUUCGUACCGGCGACAUAUCUUUCAAAUGUCUGCCUUAUCAACUUUCGAUGGUAGUUUAUGCGCCUACCAUGGUUGUAACGGGUAACGGAGAAUAAGGGUUCGACUCCGGAGAGGGAGCCUGAGAAACGGCUACCACAUCCAAGGAAGGCAGCAGGCACGCAAAUUACCCACUCCCGGCACGGGGAGGUAGUGACGAAAAAUAACGAGACGGCUCGCUAUGCGGUCCGUCAUCGGAAUGGGUACAAUUUAAAUCCUUUAACGAGGAUCUAUU
rnacentral:rRNA from 1 species